UCCCUGGAGGACUAGUGGAUAGGCCACAAUGCUCUUACUGCUGCAGUCCGGGGUCGAUUCCCAGCCAGGGAA
rnacentral:tRNA from 1 species